GUAGGUGGCAAGCGUUAUCCGGAAUUAUUGGGCGUAAAGCGCGCGCAGGCGGUUUCUUAAGUCUGAUGUGAAAGCCCACGGCUCAACCGUGGGGGGUCAUUGGAAACUGGGGAACUUGAGUGCAGAAGAGAAAAGCGGAAUUCCACGUGUAGCGGUGAAAUGCGUAGAGAUGUGGAGGAACACCAGUGGCGAAGGCGGCUUUUUGGUCUGUAACUGACGCUGAGGCGCGAAAGCGUGGGGAGCAAACAGGAUUAGAUACCCUGGUAGUCCACGCCGUAAACGAUGAGUGCUAAGUGUUAGAGGGUUUCCCGCCCUUUAGUGCUGCAGCUAACGCAUUAAGCACUCCGCCUGGGGAGUACGGUCGCAAGACUG
rnacentral:rRNA from 1 species